CCCUAUGGGGUGCAGCAGGCGAGAAAACUUUGCAAUGCGCGAAAGCUCGACAAGGUUAAUCUGAGUGGUUCCUGCUAAAGGAACCUUUUGUUAGUCGUAGAACCACUGAUGAAUAAGGGGUGGGCAAGUUCUGGUGUCAGCCGCCGCGGUAAAACCAGCACCUCAAGUGGUCAGGAUGAUUAUUGGGCCUAAAGCAUCCGUAGCCUGUUCUGUAAGUUUUCGGUUAAAUCCAUAAGCUCAACUUAUGGGCUGCCGAAAAUACUGCAGAACUAGGGAGUGGGAGAGGUAGACGGUACUCGGUAGGAAGGGGUAAAAUCCUUUGAUCUAUUGAUGACCACCUGUGGCGAAGGCGGUCUACCAGAACACGUUCGACGGUGAGGGAUGAAAGCUGGGGGAGCAAACCGGAUUAGAUACCCGGGUAGUCCCAGCUGUAAACGAUGCAAACUCGAUGAUGCGUUGGCUUGUUGCUAGCGCAAUGUCGCAGGGAAGCCGUUAAGUUUGCCGCCUGGGAAGUACGUACGCAAGUAUGAAACUUAAGGGAAUUGGCGGGGGGAGCACACAAGGGGUGAAGCCUGCGGUUCAAUUGGGAGUCAACGCCCUGAAACCUUACCCGGAGAGACAGCAUAAUGAAGGUCAGCCUGAAAACUUUACCAACAAGCUUAAAGGGGGGUGGCUGGGC
rnacentral:rRNA from 1 species